GAUGGAACAAUGUAGACAAAGAAAGUCGACAAAAUAGAUCCGUAACUUUGGGAAAAGGAUUGACUCUGAGGGCUGAGCACGGGGAUCCCAGUCCCGAGCCCGUCGGUUGUCGUGGACUGCUCGAGCUGCUCCUGCGGCGAAGCGGGUUGCCGCGUGCUGGCCGACGGACGGACUAGGAAAGGUUCCUUCGGGGGCCUUCCCCGCGCAUAGAACAACCAACUCAGAGCUUGUACAGAUAAGGGGAAUCCGACUGUUUAAAUAAAACAAAGCAUUGCGAUGUCCCAACUGAUGUUUACGCAAUGUGAUUUCCGCCUAGUGCUCUGAAUGUCAAAGUGAAGAAAUUCAACCAAGCGUGGGUAAACGGCAGGAGUAACUAUGACUUUCUUAAUGUAGCCAAAUGCCUCAUCAUCUAAUUAGUGACGCUCAUGAAUGGAUUAACGAGAUUCCCACUGUCCCUAUCUAUUAUCCAGCGAAACCACAGCCAAGGGAACGGGCUUGGCAGAAUAGUGGUGAAAGAAAAACCUGUUGAGCUAGACUCUAGUCCGACUUUGUGAAAUAACUUGAGAGGUGUAGUAUAAGUGGGAGCUGAAAGGCGAAUGUGAAAUACCACUACUUUUAACAUUAUUUUACUUAUUCCGUGAAUUGGAAGUGGGGCACUGCCCCUCUUUUUGGACCUAAGGCUCGCUCUGCGGGCCGAUCCAAGAGGAAGACAUUGUCAAGUGGGGAGUUUCGCUGGGGAGGCACAUUUGUUAAAAGAUAACGCAGGUGUCCUAAGAUGAGCUCAACGAGAACAGAAAUCUUGUGUGGUACAGAAGGGUAAAAGCUCGUUUGAUUCUAAUUUUCAGUACGAAUACGAACCGUGAAAGCGUGGCCUAACGAUCCUUUAGACCUUCAAAAUUCAAAGCUAGAAGCGUCAGAAAAGUUACCACAGGGAUAACUGGCUUGUGGCAGCCAAGCAUUAUUAGCGACGUUGCUUUUUGAUCCUUCGAUGUCGGCUCUUCCUAUCAUUAUGAAGCAGAUUUCACCAAGUGUUGGAUUGUUCACCCACCAAUAUGGAACGUGAGAUGGGUUUAGACCGUCGUGAGAAAGGUUAGUUUUACCCUACUGAUGACAGUAUCGCAGUAGUUAUUUAACCUAGUACGAGAGGAACCGUUGAUUCACACUAUUGGUCAUCGUUCUUGGUUGAAACGAUAGUGGCGCAAAGCUACCGUGUGCAGAAUUAUGACUGAAUGCCUCUAAGUCAGAAUCCUUGGCUAGAAGCGACGCAUGCGGCCGCCUUCCGCUUGCCGACCCGCAGUAGGGGCCUCGGCCCCCAAGGGCACGUGUCGUAGGCUAAUGCACUUCAGCGGAAGGGUCGCGGUGGCCGCCUUGAAGUAUAAUUUCCAUCGAGUGGUGGGUAGAAUCCUUUGUAGAUGACUUAAAUACGCGACGGGAUAUUGUAAGUGGCAGAGUGGCCUUGCUGCCACGAUCUACUGAGAUUCAUCCCUUUGUCGCUCUGGUUC
rnacentral:ncRNA from 1 species